AUGAUCAGUGGUCGGAAUAGGUAGAGCUAUUUGGGGUGAAUGACCGCAAACAUUGAUAUUAACAUGGACAUGCCUCUGAAAUCCCGGGAUUUUGAAAUUGUCGAUUGAUUUAAGUGAGUUAAUAUGGGUAAGUGGGCAGUUAUGAGCAGGUAGUAGGUGAGCACCCAAACAGUAUAUACUUACUUAUAAACACACACAGGGAUCCUGGAACGUUGUUAGAGGUAGCUUCGUGAAAUAUGAAUUAAUUAAGUAAAACUGUUAGAAACGAUACUAAAUAUACUUUACUGCACAAGGAAAUAUUAAAUGCCUACACAAUACAGAAUAGAAAAAGAUAAUAUCGCUGCCACCGGCUGGAGGUACGCGACGGCUGAGGGGGAGCGCGAGGGGAGUGCUAGCGCCGGGUUUACGCGGGCAGCGGGAGGGGCGCGGGAUCGGCGGGCACGAGCGCUCGCCUGCGCCGCUGCGAGCGAGACGGCGCUUCUCAUUUUACCACGGCGGUGACGCCGCAUUUUGUUAUUUCGUAUUUAUUGUAAUUAAUGUAAUACACAAUUGUCAAAUCAGUCUACGAGUUUUCCUGACCAGCUCCUGCUACACUAAGUUAUCGAUACAUCAAGAACAAACCAAUUUAUCUCUCUUUUAUUAUUAUAUGUUUAUGCUCCAUGUUGCCAACCCGUCGUAAGCGCUGUUUUCGUCGCUUAUUUUUUGUCUCUUUCUAUCUUAAAACGUCUAAAGUAUUAGCUGUCUCACUUAUACAAAUACAGGUACAGCGGGCUUCACUCACUCUUUUGUUUCGGCUUGUAGAGUGCGCACGUGUGAUUUAUUGUGUUCCUUAUUUUAUUUGACGUUGGCUUGUUAACUGGUUUCUGGAAUCUUACUAACACGAAUACUUUGGCUUGGAUUUACGAAUUUUGAUUUGUUUUUUGCGGACUGGAUACAUUUGAAACUGUUUAUUUGAUUUACCUACCACAUUUGGGGCGAUAAACAAGAAAAGCCAAAAAUGCCAAAUAUCAAGGAAGAAACAGUACAAAAGUGGAUAUCCGAAUAUCCAGAGCUGUUAUACGACCACGCUAGUCGUUCAAUAUAUUGCUCGAAGUGCGAGAGCCAUAUAACGGCGAAAAAAUGUAACAUCAAUAGACAUGUCGAAGGAGCCGUGCACAAGGGAACGUUUAAACGGCCUCCGGAGGAAUUUUAUUCCGACCUGAUCAAGUUUCUGGUUCUGUGCAAUAUUCCCUGGUCGCAGAUGAAAAAUCCAGCAUUCAAGGAGUUUUUUCAGAAAUAUAUCUGUACUGUUUGUUGUUGUACUUGUACUAGUCGUAAAGUACCCGAUGAGUCGCUGUUACGAAAAGUAUAUUUAGAUAAAGUUUUACUAACAAAAUCAAAACAAUUUAUGAAAAAAAUCAAACUGAAAAAUUGUGGAUAUCAUUAGACGAGACAACAGAUUUUUUAGGUAGAAAUAUUGUACAUUUUUUGAUAAAACCAUUGCAUGAGAAUAUCUCAAAUCGGCCAUAUUUAAUUGCCUGCAAGAUGUUAGAGGUGGUUAAUGGACAAACCAUUGCCAACUUUGUAAUACAGUGUCUUGAAAAUCUAUGGCAAAACUCGUUUGAAGAAAAAGUUGAUAAUAUUUUAAUACUAUGUACUGAUAGUGUAGCAUAUAUGAUAUCUGCAGGGCAAAAAUUGAAAUGCUAUUUACCACAAUUAAAACAUGUAACAUGUUUUGCUCACGCACUUCAUCGUGUUUCUGAGCAAAUUCGAAUGGAAUAUAAUGAUGUGGAUAUUUUGAUAUCAAAUGUAAAAAAAAUAUUUCUAAAAGCGCCAAGCCGUGUUCGCAUUUUAAAAGAAAAUACCCUGACUUACCACUACCUCCACAACCAAUUAUUACAAGGUGGGGUACUUGGUUGGAGGCAGCAUCAUACUACGCAAAACAUUUUGAUGCAAUAAAAGAUGUUUUGUCUCAUUUAUGCAGCUCUGAUGCAAUAGCUAUCCGAAACGCGAAAAACAUAUUACAAAAAGAAAACAUACAAAACGAGUUACAAUAUAUAGAUGAAUAUUUUUCAGUUAUACCGUUUGCUUUAAAAGAAUUACAAAAGCACCACUUGACGCUAAGUGAUUCAUUUUUAAUAUUAGAUACAGUCAGAACUUGUAUAAAUGAGUGUGCAUCAGAAAAUAUUAAAAAUAAAAUUGAAAAAGUUAUAGAAAGAAAUCCGGAUAUAGAUAUAUUACGAGAAUGGAGUGAAAAAAUUGUAAGAAAUGAAACAGAUGACCAAAUUUUAUUGAAAUGCAAAUUUGCUCCAAUGACCUCAACAGAUGUCGAACGUUCAUUUUCCAUAUAUAAAUGGAUUAUGGAUGUAAAAAGAAAUACAUUAAAAAUGGAUAAUAUAGAAAAACUGAUGGUCAUUUAUUUCAAUUCCGUAGAUGGUGAUGGGUUUUUCAGCGAAGAAUUGGUAGACGAUGAAACAUCAUCGUCUACCGGUUUAGAAUAAUUUAAUAAAAAGAUUAAAUUAAUAAAAAAAUAGUUAAUUAUUUUCAUCACGCGCAGUAGCGUGAAGUCUUUCAUUUACGAGCAUGUCAAGAGCUUCUAGGAAUAGAAAGUGUAUCGUAAAGUUUUGUUACUAAUCGUUAAAGAUUAACAUAAGGAAACGGCUUCACGUCACUGCGAGUCGUGAAAAUACCUACUCUCUAUCAAUGUUUUCAAUACGACGGCGUUAUUAAUGCUGAAAAUGUCAUAAUUACAUUUUUACGAAUGAUAUAGUACAAAGUUCUUUAUGCAUAUUUUUGUAAUUUAUUUGCUACUUACUACUUUAGUUAAGUAUAUUUAUAUAUCGUUGUAGACAGACCAACCAGUAAUGUCAACUGUUUUGAAAAUUAAAUAAUAUAUCUAACUCGA